CCUAACAGUCUUAAACUAAAUUUUCAAGCAAUACUAUAGCUCCCUGGAAGUCAACAAAAGUUAUUCAUUACAUGUUUCUCCCAUCACCCAUGACAGCCUUUCAUCACUCCAAACAACAUUCUCUGGUCUUCCCCCUCUUCUCUAACCCACACCACCUUUUUAUUGCAUUACAUUUUCAUCUUAUUUCUCAGGAAGAAUGACCAACAUUAGAGUCUCCUAAGAUACUCUAGGUGUACCUCAACAUUAUUUCUCAUCCACCACUGCUUUGCCAACAUCUCUGACAACAAACUUCUUAUAAAGCAAUCUCACCCUGCCACCACCUCACUCCUAUUACAGUGUUCAGUUCUUGGACAUCUUCUUUUAUGGAUUCCUUUCUGACAUUUCUCAUUGUAUUGCAUGUUGUCACAUUUCUUGCAAAAAAUUAACCCUUCCCUUUUAAAUUUUAUUAUUCUGUAGCGCUGUACAAUGGGUGGACUAACAGACAUGUAUUUGUAACCAGACAACUGGACGUACAGGGAAAGAGAGGUGGAGGGCCUUGCUCAAUGAGCUUACAUUCUAGAGGGAGUGAGGUAUGGUGACACAAAGAUUUAACUAUCUCCCAGUCACCCACAGCUCACAACCUUAUUGUCAUCACAUAUACUGUUAUUUUCGGUCUGUUGCUUCCACCUUUUUAACCCUAUGGAGGACUUUGUGAUUUAUAAAAUUUUGCAGACCAAUGUUAAAUUAAAAUUAUGUAAAAAU